UACGGCACAAUAAGGAUUUAUCUAAUCUAAUGUAUCUUCAAAGUUGGAGCACAAAUUACUCUUUUAUGUCCUUUUCAUUCUAAUGCCCU